CUCUUCAUAAAAGCCCAAACCCUAAUCUUCUUCCCUCUAUUGUUUUCAGUGUAUUGGAAGAACCACCACUACCUUAUCCAUUUCCACUCCUCACCAAGCCACACCAUGGCCUCAACCAACGCCCUCUCUUCAGCUUCCAUUCUACGCUCUCCCAACCGCCAGUCUCUGACCAGAAGAGCGAACCACAACGGAAGAGUAAAUUACCGUCAACCGAAUAGCCGUUUCUCCGUCAAAGCCUCCGCCAAAGAGAUUGCCUUUGACCAGCAUUCCCGCUCUGCUAUGCAGGCCGGCAUUGACAAGCUCGCCGACGCCGUCGGGCUCACUCUUGGGCCCAGGGGGAGGAAUGUUGUGUUGGAUGAGUUUGGAAGUCCUAAAGUGGUUAACGAUGGUGUCACCAUUGCUCGCGCCAUCGAGCUUCCAGAUCCUAUGGAAAAUGCCGGUGCAGCUCUUAUUAGAGAGGUUGCUAGUAAGACUAACGACUCUGCCGGUGAUGGGACGACCACGGCUUCGGUUCUUGCUCGCGAGAUAAUUAAGCUGGGGCUUCUUAGUGUGACUUCUGGGGCUAAUCCUGUGUCUCUUAAGAGAGGGAUUGAUAAAACUGUGCAGGGUUUGGUGGAGGAGUUGGAGAAGAAGGCCAGGCCUGUGAAAGGUGGAGAUGAUAUCAAAGCUGUUGCUUCCAUUUCUGCUGGGAAUGAUGAGUUGAUUGGGCAAAUGAUUGCGGAAGCAAUUGAUAAGGUUGGACCUGAUGGUGUUUUGUCCAUUGAGUCUUCGUCUUCAUUUGAGACCACAGUUGAAGUGGAAGAAGGAAUGGAGAUUGACAGAGGGUAUAUCUCGCCUCAAUUUGUGACAAACCCUGAGAAGUUGAUUGUUGAAUUUGAGAAUGCGAGAGUGUUGAUCACGGAUCAGAAGAUUUCAGCAAUAAAAGAUAUUAUACCACUGUUGGAGAAAACCACUCAGUUGAGAGCUCCUUUGCUUAUCAUUGCUGAGGAUGUCACUGGUGAGGCUUUGGCCACCCUUGUUGUGAAUAAGCUACGUGGUAUCCUUAACGUUGCUGCCAUCAAAGCUCCUGGCUUUGGUGAGCGGCGAAAGGCCCUGCUUCAAGACAUUGCUAUAUUGACUGGUGCUGAGUUCCAAGCUAGUGAUCUGGGUCUGCUUGUUGAAAACACCUCAGUGGAGCAGCUUGGCUUGGCUCGGAAAAUUACCAUCUCCAAGGAUUCUACCACUAUCAUUGCUGAUGCUGCAACAAAGGAUGAGCUGCAAGCCAGGGUUGCUCAGUUAAAGAAGGAGCUGUCACAGACAGACUCAGUAUAUGAUACUGAGAAACUGGCUGAGAGGAUAGCUAAACUGUCUGGUGGAGUUGCAGUCAUCAAGGUUGGUGCUGCCACAGAGACCGAGCUUGAGGAUCGUAAGCUCCGAAUUGAGGAUGCCAAGAAUGCAACUUUUGCUGCCAUUGAGGAAGGUAUUGUACCUGGUGGAGGUACUGCACUGGUUCAUCUCUCCACUCAUGUCCCAGCACUCAAGGACAAGCUUGAGGAUGCAGAUGAGAGGCUAGGAGCCGACAUUGUGCAAAAGGCACUGAUAGCUCCUGCAGCAUUGAUUGCUCAAAAUGCUGGAAUAGAAGGUGAAGUUGUUGUGGAGAAAAUAAAGAGUGGUGAAUGGGAGGUCGGUUACAAUGCUAUGGUAGACAGGUAUGAGAAUUUAGUGGAGGCUGGAGUUAUCGACCCUGCCAAGGUAACAAGGUGUGCAUUGCAGAAUGCUGCUUCAGUUGCUGGAAUGGUGUUGACCACACAGGCCAUUGUGGUGGAAAAACCUAAGCCCAAGGCACCUGUAGCUGGUGCCCCACAAGGCCUUACCGUUUAAUUUUUAGGUUAUUAGGGCUACGGCAAAGAACAGUUUUGUGCAGAAAAUUGAAAGAGCGGAGAGAAAUAUACCGAUGAUUUCGUUCGUUUCUGUGCCAAGAAAGUAAUACACCAUGAAUUGCUCCAGCAUUUUCAACAUCAGUCAAUCUACAUGCAAGCAGACGAUGUGAAUCCUCCCUCCAUCAGAUUUGAGAAAAUAAUGGGUACUCGUUGAAGUUGUUUAUCUUCUAUUUUAGUAGUUGAAAUGCAAACCCACUAGGGUCGGCCUAGUGGGAUAGUGGAUCAUAAGUUCUAACUUCAAUGCAAUUAUUUUUUUUAAAAAAAUGUAUGGAUUAUCUCCCAGUCAUCACUGACUUGUUGCCAGUUGUGCAUUUUAUAUAAGUUGUUGUUUUUUAAGUCAAA